GAUGAACUUCAGCAAGAGUCGGGACAUUGUCAAAGCAACAGUCGCCCGUAAACCUGAAAUUGAACUCAAUGAACCGAUUUCCGGUUGUGCGUGUGUGUGUGUGUCGGUUACCUGAACCAGAUUGUGCAUUUCGCCAGCGAUAAACCCCUCAACUGUAAAAACGGAAGCAAUGCGACGCAGCUGAGUCGACUUUUGGCACGACCCGACUUCCCCCCCAGGAACUCGUUGCCUUUCUAUCUGUUGUCACCGCUGCCAUUAUCCUUGCUAAUUUCGCAGCUCAAUGGGUCUUUGGAAUUGCGUUUGGCUCUAUCAUUCGGGUGAUCUCUAAUUGCGCAGCUUGCCAGCGUAUUACAAGCAAAACGAUAGACCCGAUCUACAUCCAGAGACGAGUCGGGUAUUAAGUGUGAUAAAUGCGUUUUUAAAAAGGCCCGAAAACAGGCUGGCCGCGUUAAAGCAAAGCUACCUUCCGUUGUCUUUGGCUGGCUAAAAACCCAGCUGCCGAUUGCUAGAAAGUGACGUCAUUUGGGUGCUUUAUAUGGGAGAGUAUUCGCAUUCAGUCACGCAGAAAGCGCCAUGCAGGCAUAUCAAAUGGUGUGGAAAAAAUGUAUUGAAAAAUCUUCACCGAUUCCUAGACUGAACCCAAAAUGUCAUUUAAGGGCUAAACUGUCGCGUGAACAUGGAAUUGAUUUUUAUAGAUAUUUAUAGAUUAAAAAUUUUCCACAUAAGCACAAAAAAAAAAAUAAAACUGAAGGAAGUAGCUGCAAAGGACGAGCAUUUGUAGCAUAAUUUAUUCGAUUA